UGCAGUCGAACGAAGUAGCAAUACUUAGUGGCAGACGGGUGAGUAACAUGUAGGUAUCUUCCCUUUGGUGAGGAAUAACAAGAGGAAACUUUUGCUAAUACCUCAUAAGUCUUUACAGAGAAAGCUUUAUGCGCCAUUGGAUGAGCCUGCACUUGAUUAGUUUGUUGGUGGGGUAAUGGCCUACCAAGACAAUGAUCAAUAGCUGAUUUGAGAGGAUGAUCAGCCACAUUGGGACUGAGACACGGCCCAAACUCCUACGGGAGGCAGCAGUAGGGAAUCUUGCACAAUGGAGGAAACUCUGAUGCAGCGAUGCCGCGUGAGUGAAGAAGGCCUUUGGGUUGUAAAGCUCUUUCGUCGGGGAAGAAAAUGACUGUACCCGAAUAAGAAGGUCCGGCUAACUUCGUGCCAGCAGCCGCGGUAAUACGAAGGGACCUAGCGUAGUUCGGAAUUACUGGGCUUAAAGAGCUCGUAGGUGGUUAAGAAAGUUGGUGGUGAAAUCCCAAGGCUUAACCUUGGAACUGCCACCAAAACUUUUUAACUAGAGUAUGAUA
rnacentral:rRNA from 1 species